rnacentral:rRNA from 1 species
UGGGGAAUUUUGGACAAUGGGCGAAAGCCUGAUCCAGCAAUGCCGCGUGUGUGAAGAAGGCCUUCGGGUUGUAAAGCACUUUUGUCCGGAAAGAAAUCCUCUGGGUUAAUACCUCGGGGGGAUGACGGUACCGGAAGAAUAAGCACCGGCUAACUACGUGCCAGCAGCCGCGGUAAUACGUAGGGUGCAAGCGUUAAUCGGAAUUACUGGGCGUAAAGCGUGCGCAGGCGGUUUUGUAAGACGGAUGUGAAAUCCCCGGGCUUAACCUGGGAACUGCAUUCGUGACUGCAAGGCUAGAGUAUGGCAGAGGGGGGUAGAAUUCCACGUGUAGCAGUGAAAUGCGUAGAGAUGUGGAGGAAUACCGAUGGCGAAGGCAGCCCCCUGGGCCAAAUACUGACGCUCAUGCACGAAAGCGUGGGGAGCAAAACAGGAUUAGAUACCCUGGUAGUCCACGCCCUAAAACGAUGUCAACUAGUUGUUGGGGAUUCAUUUCCUUAGUAACGUAGCU